ACGUCAAAUCAUCAUGCCCCUUAUGAUUUGGGCUACACACGUGCUACAAUGGACAAUACAAAGGGCAGCUAAACCGCGAGGUCAUGCAAAUCCCAUAAAGUUGUUCUCAGUUCGGAUUGUAGUCUGCAACUCGACUACAUGAAGCUGGAAUCGCUAGUAAUCGUAGAUCAGCAUGCUACGGUGAAUACGUUCCCGGGUCUUGUACACACCG
rnacentral:rRNA from 1 species